GUUUCAUUGGCAAACAUUACAUACCCAUUUCUUUUACUUCAUUUUCUAUUUUAAAUAUAAGAAGAAGAUGUCUUGGAAAACUUUUUUCUACUUGGUUGGCUGUCUGAUAACAUUAGUUGUUUUCUGGUACACAAUGCAAGACCAAAGAAAGCGAACGAGAAGGGGGUGUUUGUUUAGGUGUUGAAUAAUAUAUUCAGUAACGUCAAAUGCUAAUAAAAAUAUAAAUUCUAUGAUUUCAUACUUUUGAAUGAAUUAUCAGCAUCAAAAAUUAUAAUAAUGUACCAAAAAAUAUUUUCUUAUAACCACCUUGUAAGAUCCAGAAUGUUCAUAUAUGACCUUGCCGUGUCGAUAUUUUGGCCAAUCCUCAUCCGAUGGAUUUCGACACACAUUUUUUUAAAAUUAUUUUUAAAAAAUUUUCCAUUCAUUUCCGCAUAGCCCAGUUAAAUUAAUUCGUCUUAUUAAUUUAAUCUUUAACUUUAGAGCUAAACCAUAUCAAAUUUCCUAGAAACUUUCACUCUUAAAAUUGCGUAUAAAAGAGAAUUAUUUAAAAUGUAUUUUACACUAAACUAAAACUAAAACUAAGUAAUGUCUUGGAAUACAGUUGUUCUAGCAAUAAUUGCAUCAGUACCUUGGUUUGAUCCUUCAUCAGGAAUUUGGAUUUAUGAUGAUAAAUGAGUAAUAUAAUUAAGUUUUGUAUGUAAAUUAAAAUUGCAUAGAAAGAAAUAAGGUUAUGAAAAGAAACCUUACAAUUGAGUUCCUUAUUUAUGAAAAUUGUAGU